GCUUCUUUUUGCUAGCUAUGUAUCUUGGGUGUAUCUUUUGAGCUGCUUGUUUGCUCCCUGAUUUUGGAGAUGCAGUUUGUUCAUUUGACUAGGGUUUUGAAUUGACCUGGGAAAACCCUGAGGCUGGGAAAUUAUUUUGAAUGGAUUUAAAAAAGUUAUGUGAACCUCUGAUAUCUCCUCUCAAGCCUGGCUCCUGCUCGCUUGACUCCUGCUACUGGGGGGAAAUCCAGGGGAAAAACAGUAUGAGAAAAAUGGAGCAUAGUGAAAAACAAAAUGCUGCUGAAGAUUGCCCGUAACUGGCAAGAACCUAUCUUCUUCUUAUUACCCAUGGAAGCUCUGAAAUUAGGGAAGUACCAGGAUCAUGGGAUCAAGGCAUUGCAAAAGCAGGCAUCUUACUAGGGAAGCUGCUGAGAGACCAAGUAGGAGAAAGAGAUUCAGCGAAGACAUAGCCUGUCUUUAAAGACCCAGCCCAGAAAAGCUCUUGCAUACUAACCUUCAGCAUCACAGCAAUCCCAUUGAUCUGGCUGCUUAAAGUUAAGCAUGUGCUCCCAGGAUGGAGGUGCAUACACCACAUAAAUGCAUAUAGGGUUUGGUCUCCCCCAACCCCCCCAAUGGAGGAUUUGUGCCAUCUCCAAGGGAGCAGGGAAUGGGUAUCCCCUUGGAGAAAAUCAUUACCUGCCAGUCACCGGAAGAAGAGUGUGAGUAUCACUUGUGGAAACUGCAAAUUGAAGUGCAAGCAAAGCCACAAUCUGGAGAAAUAAAUAAUCCAAAGAUCCAGAAACUUGUUAGAUCUAGUCCUGAUUCUCAAUGCCUUACACCUGGUACAGCAAUUUACACUUUUGAGAAAAAGGGCUAGAUCCUCAGCGAGUAUAAACUGGAGAAGCUCUGAUGAUGAUGAUGCUAGCUGCAGGAAUAUAAAGUGGGAAUAGAAUGCUACCAUAUCACAAAGGCAGCAUUUUACACUCAUUUUUGCACAAAUGCAAGCAACUGUGCAAGAUGGAAGCCCUUGGGGUAUCUGACCCUCUGUGUGUUUCUGGAGGAGGAGAAAGGAGAUUGCAGGUCUCCCAAAUUUGAUUUGCCUAGUUAUCUCUGCAAAAACGGCUUAGAGCGAGACCUUUGAGGUGCAAGGAAUGGUCAAGAGCGGUUCCUGUAAUUUCAUAAUUCACAAAGCCAAUUGGUUCCAGGGACAUUAUAAAGAUAAUUAUCAUCAUAUUGACCUAAGAUGACUAGUCAUAACCCGUUAGUCAGAAGACACCAUUUAAAAAGUGAGUUUACUUGCCA